AGAGUUUGAUCAUGGCUCAGGACGAACGCUGGCGACGUGCCUAACACAUGCAAGUCGAACGGUCUGCUGUUCAACACCGAGGGUUUUGGUGGAGAACCCCGACAGCGUCAAGCGCGAACGAGAGAGAGCGCUUCACGCGUUAAACAAGUGCUAACACUAGAAUUUUCGGUGUUGGACAGCAGAUAGUGGCGAACGGGUGAGUAACGCGUAGACAACCUACCUCUAAAUUGGGGAUAACACCGCGAAAGUGGUGCUAAUACCGAAUGUGGUAACUUGGUCGCAUGACUGAGUUAAGAAAGGUGGCCUCUUAACAAUGCUACCGUUUAGAGAUGGGUCUGCGUCUGAUUAGCUAGUUGGUGAGGUAACGGCUCACCAAGGCGACGAUCAGUAGCCGGUCUGAGAGGAUGAACGGCCACACUGGGACUGAGACACGGCCCAGACUCCUACGGGAGGCAGCAGUGGGGAAUCUUCCGCAAUGGACGAAAGUCUGACGGAGCAACGCCGCGUGAGUGAAGAAGGUCUUCGGAUUGUAAAACUCUGUCGUUUGGGACGAACGUAUCUUGUGUGAACAAUGCGAGAUAAUGACGGUACCAAAGGAGGAAGCCACGGCUAACUACGUGCCAGCAGCCGCGGUAAUACGUAGGUGGCAAGCGUUGUCCGGAAUUAUUGGGCGUAAAGGGCGUGUAGGUGGAUCUUUAAGUCUUGUGUCUAAGAGCGGUGCUCAACGCCGUAUGGGCGCAGGAAACUGGAGAUCUUGAGUGCAGGAGAGGAAAGUGGAAUUCCCAGUGUAGCGGUGAAAUGCGUAGAUAUUGGGAGGAACACCAGUGGCGAAGGCGACUUUCUGGACUGUGUCUGACACUGAGGCGCGAAAGCCAGGGGAGCGAACGGGAUUAGAUACCCCGGUAGUCCUGGCCGUAAACGAUGGGUACUAGGUGUAGAGGGUAUCGACCCCCUCUGUGCCGGAGUUAACGCAAUAAGUACCCCGCCUGGGGAGUACGGCCGCAAGGUUGAAACUCAAAUGAAUUGACGG
rnacentral:rRNA from 1 species